UACGUAGGGUGCAAGCGUUAAUCGGAAUUACUGGGCGUAAAGCGUGCGCAGGCGGUUUUGUAAGUCAGAUGUGAAAUCCCGGGGCUUAACCUGGGAACUGCGUUUGAAACUACAAGGCUAGAGUGUGGCAGAGGGGGGGUGGAAUUCCACGUGUAGCAGUGAAAUGCGUAGAGAUGUGGAGGAACACCGAUGGCGAAGGCAGCCCCCCUGGGUUAACACUGACGCUCAGGCACGAAAGCGUGGGGAGCAAACAGG
rnacentral:rRNA from 1 species